UCACUGGAUGGCGAGGGCCCCACUGCAUUGGUCUCCAUGUGCUCUGCCUUCUCAAUGUCCAAGGCCUCAAACUUUUCAAUCACCUGGGACCUCCUGUGGUUGGGGGUGCUGGGGCUGGGAGGGGAGAGCGGCGGGGGCAGCUGCUGUUCUUCGGCCUUCAAGUCGUGUUUGGUCUUCUCCAGAGAGAAGUAGCUGCUCUCCCCCCGGACUUUGCGGCCACAGUCCAUGCGGUCGCUACUCAUGGCGCUCUCCUCUUCUUUGCUCUCCAGCCCAGGUUCCCGCAGGGAGCUGGCAGCAGGAGGCUGGCUCUGGCUGGGACUCUGAGCUGGACUCAGACUGCUGCCAUCUGGCUGGUCCUUGGUCCUCAUUUCUUCCUGCCAGAGUGUGGACUUGGUGGUGGGGACUUUCUCAGCACUGGGGAUGCUGCUGCUGCUGCUGCUGCUGGUGGUAACAGCCACCUUGGCAGGCCCAGGCUCCUGCGGUGUGGGGGGCUCCACUUUCCAUUUCUUCUUCUGAUUCUGCUUGUUGGUCCGGGGAUAGACCAUGAGCAUCUCCAGCCACCCACUGACGAUCUCCUUGGUCUCCGCCCGGAUGAAAUGCUCCUUCUCAGGCGUCAGAAUACACAGGGAGAACCUCUGGCCCGUGCGGCCCUCCCCAUCCACCACAUCUGUGCACUGGUUCAUGUUGAUGGUGCCCUGAGGAAGGGUCGUGGGCAUCUCAUCCAGGGCGUAGCGCAAGAGGCCAUGCUCGUAAAGGAUGAAGAACUGUCGCUGCCAUUUCGGAGACCGGUGCACUGAGUUGUCAAAGUCGGUCCCAUCUGGAGCCAGGAGGAGCCAACCGCCAUAAAUGGGUUUUGCCUGCGUCAGGUCCUCGUCGUUGAGGAGAUGCGACUCGCGGGGCUGGAAGCAGUUCUGACACUUGCUCUUGUUGAAGAUGUUGGCCUGGAAUUUCCUGCACGGGUUCUCCUUGGCUGCCGACAUGGUCGGCGACGCGGCCUCGGGCCCGCUGCUUCCCGCUGCGGCCC
rnacentral:lncRNA from 1 species